UGGGGAAUUGUUCGCAAUGGGCGCAAGCCUGACGACGCAACGCCGCGUGGAGGAUGAAGGUCUUCGGAUUGUAAACUCCUGUUGCCCGGGACGAAUGGCUCCAACCUAAUACGUUGGAGUGUGACGGUACCGGGUGAGGAAGCCCCGGCUAACUCUGUGCCAGCAGCCGCGGUAAUACAGAGGGGGCAAGCGUUGUUCGGAAUUACUGGGCGUAAAGGGCGCGUAGGCGGCCUUCUAAGUCAGACGUGAAAUCCCCGGGCUCAACCCGGGAACUGCGUCUGAUACUGGAAGGCUUGAAUCCGGGGGGGGGAUGUGGAAUUCCAGGUGGAGCGGUGAAAUGCGUAGAUAUCUGGAGGAACACCGGUGGCGAAGGCGGCAUCCUGGACCGGUAUUGACGCUGAGGCGCGAAAGCCAGGGGAGCAAACGGG
rnacentral:rRNA from 1 species